rnacentral:rRNA from 1 species
CCUACGGGUGGCAGCAGUGAGGAAUAUUGGUCAAUGGGCGGAAGCCUGAACCAGCCAAGUCGCGUGAGGGAUUAAGGCCCUGCGGGUCGUAAACCUCUUUUGCCGGGGAGCAGUGGUCCGGACGCGUCCGGCCCUGGAGAGUACCCGUAGAAAAAGCAUCGGCUAACUCCUUGCCCGCAGCCUCGGUAAUACGGAGGAUGCGAGCGUUCUCCGGCUUUAUUGGGUUUAAGGGGUGGGUAGGCGGGCAUUUAAGCCGGCGGUCAAAUGUCGGGGCUCAACCCCGGCCUGCCGUCGGAACUGGGGGCCUUGAGUGGGCGAGAAGUAGGCGGAAUGCGUGGUGUAGCGGUGAAAUGCAUAGAUAUCACGCAGAACCCCGAUUGCGAAGGCAGCAUACCGGAGCCCGACUGACGCUGAGGCACGAAAGUGCGGGUAUCGAACAGGGUUAGAUACCCCAGUAGUC